UACAGAGGUCUCAAGCGUUGUUCGGAUUCAUUGGGCGUAAAAGGUGCGUAGGCGGCGCGGUAAGUCGGGUGUGAAAUCUCGGGGCUUAACUCCGAAACUGCAUUCGAUACUGCCGUGCUUGAGGACUGGAGAGGAGACUGGAAUUUACGGUGUAGCGGUGAAAUGCGUAGAUAUCGUAAGGAAGACCAGUGGCGAAGGCGGGUCUCUGGACAGUUCCUGACGCUGAGGCACGAAGGCCAGGGGAGCAAACGGG
rnacentral:rRNA from 1 species